rnacentral:rRNA from 1 species
AUAUUGCGCAAUGGAGGGAACUCUGACGCUGCUACGCCGCUUGAGCGAUGAAGGUCUUCGGAUCGUAAAGCUCUGUCCUUGAGGAAGAAGGGAACCGUAACGCCUCCUGACGGUACCUAUGGAGGAAGCCUCUGCUAACUACGUACCAGCAGCCGCUGUAAUACGUAGGGGGCAAGCGUAGUCCGGAAAUAUUGUGCGUAAAGGGUGCGUAGGCGGCCCUUUAAGUCAGAUGUGAAAGCCCACGGCUUAACCGUGAGACUGCAUUUGAAACUGAAGGGCUUGAGUGUCGGAGAGAGCAGUGGAAUUCCCAGUGUAGCGGUGGAAUGCGUAGAUAUUGGGAGGAACACCAGUGGCGAAGGCGACUGCCUAGACGAUAACUGACGCUGAGGCACGAAAGCUAGGGGAGCAAAC